UACGAAGGGGGCUAGCGUUGCUCGGAAUGACUGGGCGUAAAGGGCGCGUAGGCGGUUUGUACAGUCAGGCGUGAAAGCCCCGGGCUUAACCUGGGAACUGCGUUUGAUACGGCAGGGCUAGAGUUCGGGAGAGGAGAGUGGAAUUCCUGGUGUAGCGGUGAAAUGCGCAGAUAUCAGGAGGAACACCGGUGGCGAAGGCGGGUCUCUGGGCAUGAUCUGACGCUGAGGAGCGAAAGUGUGGGGAGCGAACAGG
rnacentral:rRNA from 1 species